rnacentral:tRNA from 1 species
GGUACCCUGGUGCAGUUGGCUAACGCGUCGUAGUACAUUGCCGACGAAGCUAGUUCGAAUUCAGCCGGUACCA